UACGGGGGGGGCAAGCGUUGUUCGGAAUUACUGGGCGUAAAGGGCUCGUAGGCGGCCAACUAAGUCGGAUGUGAAAUCCCCAGGCUCAACUUGGGAACUGCAUCCGAUACUGGAUGGCUUGAAUUCGGGAGAGGGAUGCAGAAUUCCACGUGUAGCGGUGAAAUGCGUAGAGAUCGGGAGGAACACCUGUGGCGAAGGCGGCCGACUGGGCCGACCCUGACGCUGAGGCGGCGAAAGCUAGGGGAGCAAACAGGG
rnacentral:rRNA from 1 species